CCUACAAUGAGAAUGUUAAUCCAUUUGAUGUUGCCCCUUUAAGUUCCUUAAUCUAUCUUCACUUUUUUUUUCCCUCCUACUUGCUGCUCUGAUUGGAGAUAUUCUAUUGCUUUGUGUUUGAGUUCACUUACCCUUUCUUCUGUUCCGUCUAGUCUGCUGGUGAACCCCUCUCGUGUUUUCAUUCAGUUCAGUUAUUGUGUUCAUCAGCUCCAUGACUUGUAUUUUUCAUAUAUUUUCUAUCUUUUUGUUGAAGUUCUGUGUUCAUCCAUUCUUCUCCCCAUCUUCUUUCCAGUUUUACAUCUUUAUGACCAUUUUGAACUUUUUAUCGGGUAAGUAUCCUACGUCUGUUACCACUGAGGUUUUGUUUAAUGUUUAUUUUUAUAUUGGAGAGAGAGGGGGCAGAAAGAGAGGGAGACGGAGGAUCUGAAGCUGACUGUGCAGAGCCCAGUGCAGGGUUGAACUCACAAACUGUGAGAUCAUGACUUGAACCAACGUCAGACACUUAACUGACUGAGCCACCCAAAUGCCCCUUCCCUGAGGUUUUUACAAGAGAUCUAGAAUUCACAGUAAAGUAUUCACAUCAUAAGGGAGCCAUGGGAACAGAAUCAACUCCAGAUUGGGGUAGGUUUGAAUACCUGAUACAUCAUAAAAGAGUGUCCUAGAUACCUAGAAAAUAGGUGCUUUAAAUUACACAUGUCCUUAUGAAGUCAUUUUACUAGGUGUAAGGGUUAACUAACAUCAAUCUGUCACAUUUCUGAAUCUUUGCUGAUGGGGCUACUUUCUCAUUUUUAGUUAUCAAUUCAGUUCUUUCUAUUAAAUAAGUGGGAGAAGGAGUUUGGAUCUAAUAUGGUGAAGAGGCAAGUAACAGAAAGUUUGAGAGUCAUUCUAUAAAACAUUGACCAGAAGAAAAAGGCAUAGAUCAGCUUAAAGGAAGCAGGAGCUGAAUUUGGGAAUGCAGGAGAUCUAGGAACUGUGGGUAUGACCAACCAGCCUAGGCCCCAAGAAGGGAGGUUAAAAAUGACUUCCCUAAAGGAUUGACUAUCCAGGAAGCAAUGAGGGAGUCAGUCAGCCUUUACAAGUAAUUGGGGGCUAGACAUACCAAGGUGAGUAACCUUCCCUUCAACAAGAACUCCAACUCAGGAGACAAACUUCAUGUCCCAGCCCCCAAAAGAGCCUUUUUAUCUGCAUUUACAAAUAGCUGCACACUCCAGCCUUUGGGGUCUGGAUGUUGAACUUCAGUGUUUCAGUGCUCAGGAACCUGCAUGUGAACAAGCUUCUCUGGUGCAUCCCACGAAGGUAGCUCAGAUUACACUUGGAGAAACACUGCAAGGUAGUGAGUCCCUCUGGCUUCCUCUGCGAGGUGAAUUUCUCAAGAGCCCGGGGUGUUAUUAAGCAAGCAAGCUAGUUUUUGUGAAUGGAGUAAAUUAUAGCCACUACUGAGGACUUACUAUGUAAGUUUCUACUAGACCACUGGCCAAGAUGACUUAAACAGUAAAUACAUCACCAGAGCUCCUUAUCAAAUACUUACAGAUCUUGGCUCUGUUUCAUCCGGUGGAAGUCCUUCAGGAUCCCCAUCAUAUCUGCAAAGCUGCUGGCCUUGGACAGAGAAACACAGUCAUCCUCUUCAGACGAGCUGCAGGUAGCCUUGUGUUCUGGUUUGCAACAUUCAGGGCUGGCAGAACAAAGCAGGGGGACUGAUGGAAGCUCAGGGACCUCUACCUCGGUCUCCUCGGUGAUGUCACUAAUGACAAAGGAAGUUGUAGAGUGGAAUGAGGAUCCAAAACAAGGUAAGGGAGAAGAGACAUUUGAACUUCCUGGAGAUAAGAAAUCUGGCGUUAAUGAAGCCGAAGCUGAAAGAGAAAACAAUAGGCAUGGAUGGACAUUGGGCUAGAACACGGCAGUAAUAUCUUCUCCCCACAAGCACUGCCUACCAACAACACUCAUUUCCUGGGCUGACACCGUGACCUUCUGGGAGAGCCCGGGAUAGUCCGUGUAAGCCAGUGGAGGGUUCCUCCACUACCCUCCCCUCUCAGGAUCUAAAGAAGAUACAGAAGCACUGAGUUCUUCCAGUGUUCUGGGAGGGUGGAAGAAUCCACCCCGUAAAGGCUUAGGCACCUAAGAUCUCCCUCCCAUUCUGCAGUGGGCUAUGGAGUGACAGCCCUAUUUCGACCAAAGCCAACAGUAACACAACCAAGGUCAGACUUUGUCCUUUCUCUAACUGGGCUAGUGCUUCUGAGUGACUGGAAGAAGUAGCGAAAACAGAAUGGUGACAGUCCUCCUAGUUUCUCAAAUCUUAAGGGAGAAUUUCCAAAACAAAAAGAUUUUUAAGUUUCAUUUUUCAUCAACUACUUCAGCUUGUCUCUUGGAUGACAAAAAUGUAGCCAACAUAUAAAUGAAAAACUCAAGUAUAAUUCCUCUAUAUAAAUGCCA